rnacentral:rRNA from 1 species
UGAGCAAUCUGCCCUUCACAUCGGAAUAACCAUUGGAAACGAUGGCUAAUACCGAAUAUGACUUCGGAUCGCAUGAUCUGAAGUGGAAAGCUCCGGCGGUGAAGGAUGAGCUCGCGGCCUAUCAGCUUGUUGGUGAGGUAAUAGCUCACCAAGGCGAUGACGGGUAGCCGGCCUGAGAGGGUGACCGGCCACACUGGGACUGAGACACCGGCAGA